AACGAACGCUGGCGGCAGGCCUAACACAUGCAAGUCGAGCGCCCCAGUAAUGGGGAGCGGCAGACGGGUGAGUAACGCGUGGGAACCUACCCAGUGGUACGGAACAGCUCAGGGAAACUUGGGGUAAUACCGUAUACGCCCGAAAGGGGAAAGAUUUAUCGCCAUUGGAUGGGCCCGCGUCGGAUUAGCUAGUUGGUGGGGUAACGGCCUACCAAGGCGACGAUCCGUAGCUGGUCUGAGAGGAUGAUCAGCCACACUGGGACUGAGACACGGCCCA
rnacentral:rRNA from 1 species